GAUGAACGCUGUCAGAAUGCUUAACACAUCAGCCAUUGAUUGGUGGCGGACGGGUGAGUAACGCGUAAAGAACUUGCCUCACAGCUAGGGACAACAUUUGGAAACGAAUGCUAAUACCUAACACUGUGAGAGAGCUUUGCGUCCCAUUAGCCAGUUGGAGAGGUAACGGCUCACCAAGGCGAUGAUGGGUAGCCGGCCUGAGAGGGUGAUCGGCCAAAAGGGGUCUGGUGAACGGCCAUUACUGCUAUGGGGGGCAGCAGUGGGGAAUAUUGGACGAUGGACCAAAGUCUGAUCCAGCAAAACUGUGUGCACGAUGAAGUUUUCGGGAUGUAAGGUGCUUUCAGUUGAGAAGAGGUACCAACAGAAGAAGUGACGGCUAAAUACGUGCCAGCAGCCGCGGUAAUAC
rnacentral:rRNA from 1 species